ensembl:lncRNA
CGAGCUAAGUGUGUGUGUGUGUGUGUGUGUGUGUGUGUGUGUGUGUGUGUGUGUGUGUGUGUGUGUGUGUGUGUGUGUGUGUGUGUGUGUACUUGUCUUUAGGAAAUUUUGCUGGUCGACAACAUUAAACUUGGUUUUCGAGGUAUGGCUUGAAUUAGCGUCACUUUAAGUGAGUUUAGCUUAGGGUUAGGACUAGAACUCCACUGGUUGUGUGUGUGUGUGUGUGUGUGUGUGUGGGUGCGUGUCUGUCUGUCUGUCUGCUCUGUCUUCUUGAUCCCCAGUGAGUCGUGGGGGGGGGGGGUUAUUGACUGUCUGCCUAUUGCACAGAGAGUCUGCUGCUUAAUUAGCUUCAACUGAAGCACCAGAAUAUAAACACUUUGUGUUCCUGUUUUCCAUCUGGAUUCGGAUCGCCGGUGUUCCGGCUGCUUACCGUGAUGGAUGUAGCAGAUGGGCUGAGGGCCACCUCUCAUUCUUCAUAGGUGUGAGAGAAUUUCUGCCAGUAAAAUACAAACAUCCCUGUGAGUGUGGGAGGAAACAACCCCGUGUGACCAGGGUAACAUUCAUGCUGUCCACAUUGGUCAAAGCCGUGCAGAUGUUUGAAGUCAGUUGUUCCUUCUCCUGUUCCAGUUUUUAAAGUUUCUACAUGAACAUUUUUCCUUCCUGUUAAUGACAUGGUGGAAGUUCUGCCUCUGAUGAACAGCACAGACUGCACUCUGUCAUUAUUUAUCAAAAUAAAUAAAUAAAUAAAAAUAGCGAUGCUUACUGUCAGCUACAGAAGAGCUGGAGUGUGGUCAGGUUUCUUCUCUGGUGCGUGCAGGCCUGUGUUAACAUAGAGGCAGACAUUAAUGCUGGGAGAGGAUUACAGAUGAGCCAAACAAGAACCCAGAGAAAUGAAGAAGACUAAGAAGGAAGUGAACUGAAGCCCAAUAACACACCGUGACAGCCGCUUUACAAACCCAUCCAUGAUGGAGGUGGUCACCCUUCUCAUUCAUGGUGUUGUGUUGUUCCACACACAUUACACGUCUUCCUGGAGAUAACUGACAAGACGUGAGACGACUAGUGAGCAACCAGUCAGCCGUCCAGCUGGUGGAUGACUGCUCCACCACUUCAGUUCCUGCAGGUGGAUGCUGAUGGAAAGCAGGUGUUAGAAGCUGCAGUGAUUAUAUUUGUGCCAGUUUGGUGUAGCAAACACUCACAGUAGAAGUGCAUUGGAUACCUGUUUUAGAAAAACCUGCUUACUGCUAUCUAUGCUUUAUCAGUCCAUCCGUCCGACAACUCAUUCAUAUUCACUCCCCUGUUUGUGCUCUGCAUGACUGAGAAGAAUAAAUGGAAUAGCAUCAACUCUAAAAGACGAGGGCAGAAGCUGCAGCAACAUCGUUACCUCUGGGGUGAAUUAGGAAUUCCUUUGUAGCGAGGAACUAACAAGACCAUUGGACAGUGAUGGAUUAAGCUCUCCUCAAGAACUGGCAUGUCAAUUGUUCUUUCCAUAAUAGUCUACUCUGAAGUGAAUCAAUCGAAGCUUUGUUAGGCUCUCAUGGGUAACAGCGAGCUCACGACGUAAAUAUGCAUAGAGAGAGUUGGUUUAUAUGAUAUGAUAAUAUUGGGUCUUUAUGAUCCAUGUUCAAUCUUUGUGAAAUUAAACUUCACACUGACCGGAACAAUGCAUCAAAAGGUGGCAGGUUUUUACUUGGUGGGGAUUUUUUCCUCAAUAACCAAUAAAAAAUCACACUAACGGAAAUGACACUGUUUCUAAAACCACUUUGGAAUUCCCGCAAACAAAACAAGACAAGGUGGAGAACGGCCCGUUGUCACCGCUUCACUAACCCUAACCCUAACUAAAGUCUACAGUAGCUUAUAACACAGAAAUACUUCUAAAUAGAUUUUUAAACUAUAGAAAUUAGAUAACAUUGGUCUCAGUUGUUGCUGAGUUAGAAACUUGACCAGUUUCAUAUCUGACACCACUCUGCAUCCCUCUGCUGACCGAAAACCACACUAGAUAGUUUUGUUGAGCUGGAAGGUUUCCUGUGGGGAGCUCACUACCAGCUUUACGGCUCUUAAUGCUAGCAGCUAGCGGUUAGCAUUUUCAGUUUGCCGAUUGUCAGUGAAGCACAAGAAAAAGAAAUAUAAGUUGUUUCCUUUUCUGUUGGCAUCAUGGUGGAGCCUGGAAGAGGAAGUAAGACAGUUGUGUCUUUGGAAGUGAAGCAAGAGCUGAAACCAGUUAGUCGCCGAUGGCAGUAAACGAGUUAACUUGCUCAUGUUAGUGUUAGCUCGUUGUCAGUGCUAGCUACAGCAGACUGCAGCAGGGUUGUUUAAGACAGUUGUAAUUCCACUUUAAACCAGUGGGGCGAAGGAGCUGGAAACUGGUCUUCUUUACUUUAAAGGUGCAGUAUGUAUCAUCCUGUGGUCAAAUUUGGCAAUUCUAGAUGACAAGCAAAGACGUGUAAUAAACGGUCACCUGAUAAGUUGAUAUGUACAAGUAAUACUGUUAUGGAUGACUGUUGUGCCAGGAUCCAAGUUUUCUUUUUUAACCUGCAUCACAUGUAGCAGCCAGGCAUCCAUUUUAACUGCUAAAGCCUGAUUUAUGCUUCUCCGUCUGCGUCAGUGCGGAGACAAGCAACGCCAUUAUCCAUCCUUGCGUAGGGCUCCUGCAGGCACGCAAGUACGUACGGAGUCGAGCCCACUUUUCUAAACAUCCGUCGAACGAGACGGAUAAACGCAAGCUUGUGAUUGGUCAGGACGCCGCUGUUGUUUACAGCGCCGCCAUUGCAAAGAGAGCAGAGGAUAACUAGCGGCAGACAUGGAGAAGCUUGAAGAAUACCUCACGAAAAAACUCUAAAAAUAUGAACGUUUAAUUCUACCGUGACUGGAGGAGUGAAAAAAUGUGCAGCAAGCGUUUUAUUUGUGGACGGAAAUGACAGGAAACGUGGGUUUAGAGGCGGGGAGUGCAUGAAGAGAUGGGAGAAUGAGAGACAAAUAUGUCCAUGUUAAAAGUCUCAUAUACACAAAAAAACACAAUAUAAACACACUAUCUUGGACCGAUACAUGACAGGAUACCACAGAACAGCGCUACGCCCUCUGUUGUCCUGCCGGGCCAUUGCUUUGCAACACUCUCCAGGAGACGGAGAAGUAUGAGAGCAAAACGCUUCCGUCAGUCCGUGCGUGUCUGUCCUUUGCGGAGCUGACGGAGAAGCAUAAACCAGGCAUCACUCACUUCUUUUCCUUCUGACCUAGGUUUUCUCAUCCUCUACUGCCCCCUAGUGGUAGACACAACAAUUACAUUGUCUUAUCUGAUGUUUGCGUACAUAGGUGAUUUAGGCUAGGGAGCACUCACUACACACAUUAUGAUGAUCUACCUCAGUUGUUAUGUUCACUGUAAUAUAUAUAUAUAUAUAUAUAUAUAUAUA